CGUAAUAGCUCACUGGUCGAGUCGGCCUGCGCGGAAGAUGUAACGGGGCUAAACCAUGCACCGAAGCUGCGGCAGCGACACUGUGUGUUGUUGGGUAGGGGAGCGUUCUGUAAGCCUGUGAAGGUGUGUCGUGAGGCAUGCUGGAGGUAUCAGAAGUGCGAAUGCUGACAUAAGUAACGAUAAAGCGGGUGAAAAGCCCGCUCGCCGGAAGACCAAGGGUUCCUGUCCAACGUUAAUCGGGGCAGGGUGAGUCGACCCCUAAGGCGAGGCCGAAAGGCGUAGUCGAUGGGAAACGGGUUAAUAUUCCCGUACUUGGUGUUACUGCGAAGGGGGGACGGAGAAGGCUAUGUUGGCCGGGCGACGGUUGUCCCGGUUUAAGCGUGUAGGUGUGUGUUCCAGGUAAAUCCGGUUCACUUUAACACUGAGGCGUGACGACGAGGCACUACGGUGCUGAAGCAACAAAUGCCCUGCUUCCAGGAAAAGCCUCUAAGCAUCAGGUAACAUCAAAUCGUACCCCAAACCGACACAGGUGGUCAGGUAGAGAAUACCAAGGCGCUUGAGAGAACUCGGGUGAAGGAACUAGGCAAAAUGGUGCCGUAACUUCGGGAGAAGGCACGCUGACACGUAGGUGAAGUGAUUUACUCAUGGAGCUGAAGUCAGUCGAAGAUACCAGCUGGCUGCAACUGUUUAUUAAAAACACAGCACUGUGCAAACACGAAAGUGGACGUAUACGGUGUGACGCCUGCCCGGUGCCGGAAGGUUAAUUGAUGGGGUCAGCGCAAGCGAAGCUCCUGAUCGAAGCCCCGGUAAACGGCGGCCGUAACUAUAACGGUCCUAAGGUAGCGAAAUUCCUUGUCGGGUAAGUUCCGACCUGCACGAAUGGCGUAAUGAUGGCCAGGCUGUCUCCACCCGAGACUCAGUGAAAUUGAACUCGCUGUGAAGAUGCAGUGUACCCGCGGCAAGACGGAAAGACCCCGUGAACCUUUACUAUAGCUUGACACUGAACAUUGAGCCUUGAUGUGUAGGAUAGGUGGGAGGCUUUGAAGUGUGGACGCCAGUCUGCAUGGAGCCGACCUUGAAAUACCACCCUUUAAUGUUUGAUGUUCUAACGUGGACCCGUUACCCGGGUUGCGGACAGUGUCUGGUGGGUAGUUUGACUGGGGCGGUCUCCUCC
rnacentral:rRNA from 1 species